UAGUUUUGCCAUAACUGCCGCUGAGCAGCCG
rnacentral:sRNA from 1 species